AAAGUCGUAACAAGGUUUCCGUAGGUGAACCUGCGGAAGGAUCAUUACUGAGUUAGGGUCUUUAUGGCCCGACCUCCAACCCUUUGUUUAUUAUACCAUGUUGCUUUGGCGGGCCUGCCUUUCGGGGCUGCCGGGGGUACUACUGCCCCUGACCCGUGCCUGCCAGGAGCCUUCCUUAAAUUCUGUGUUAAACUCUGCUGUCUGAGUCCCAAUAUUAAAUUAUCAUAAAACUUUCAACAACGGAUCUCUUGGUUCUG
rnacentral:misc_RNA from 1 species